UGGUGGUAAAUCAAACGAACAUAAACUUCAAGAGUUGAUAUCCAUAGGCUACGGAUCUUCGAUGAAUUUUCUGUCAUGCGUAAUAGGUAUAUCACGAAACAAGCCCAGAACUGGCACAAUUAGGAGCGAUGAUGUUAAGCUAGCACAAGAAGUUUCAGUCCCAAAAAAGGAAGAGCUAACUCCCUCAUGGAAGAUUUGACGAAACUAACAUCAAGGAUCCGGGGACCCUGUAGCGCCCCAGGGGCGCUGCACGGUGCAACACUUCAUCCGGACCGUCCGUCUCCGUACUCAAUGGUCCGGAUUACAAAAUAACUCUUAUAGGGAAGAGUUUAACUCUUUUCCGGAAGAGUUCUUUUAAAAUCUAGACCGCCCAAAACACUUUUGGACGGUUAGAUUGAGCAAUGCACGGUGCAACUUUUGAGGUGUUGCACCAUCCCGCCAUCCCUCAGAUCAGAAACAGAACAGAUACCAAUAUUGAUUUUCCAAGUAAAACAAAUAAUAUUUCAUAGUAAAACAGAAACAACAAAAUGACUGCCCCUGACAUCUACUUAUCUGGUCAUACAAAUUUGGAAACAACGCCCCCUUUCCAUAGAAGUUUCAAAACGAAAACAACAUAUCUAUUACCGAACAACAUCCUCCAUUCUUCUCUACACACCAAUAGACUGUAGCAGGGGAAAUUCAGCUGGUGAGGCCGAAGGGUAAUCAACAAACAUCUCCCGAGUGUCAAUGUUCCGAGGACUAACCAAGAGUAACCAAAAUUCUGGAAAUUAUAGCCUGGGGAAUAUCUUGUUUCUGUAAACCGAUGUCAUCCUAAAAACCCAUCACAAUAACCACUGGUGCACAUAUUUUUUAAAAACUUCACCCUCAAACUUCAUUCAACUCAUGUCUCAUCAUUAUGUCGUGGACAAGUGACCAAGUUGAAAGACAGCAGUCAGCAAAAGAGGCUAUGCAUGUUUUGAAGUAAGCACGAUAAUGCAGAGAAAGUGACUCAAAAAUAACAUCUAGGAAAAAAAACAAA